rnacentral:tRNA from 1 species
GACAAAGUCAUAAAGGUUAUGGGGUUAACUUGAAAUUAAUCUAAGGGGGUUCAAUUCCUCCCUUUCUUA